rnacentral:rRNA from 1 species
GCAGCGAUCAGUAGCUGGUCUGAGAGGACGAUCAGCCACACUGGGACUGAGACACGGNCCAGACUCCUACGGGAGGCAGCAGUGGGGACAUUUCGCAAUGGGCGACAGCCUGACGGAGCAAGACCGCGUGAGGGAGGACGGCUCUUGGGUUGUAAACCUCUUUUCUCAGGGAAGAAGCUCUGACGGUACCUGAGGAAUCAGCCUCGGCUAACUCCGUGCCAACAGACGCGGUAAUACGGAGGAGGCAAGCGUUAUCCGGAAUAAUUGGGCGUCCAGCGUCCGCAAGUGGCGAUACACGUCUGCUGUCAAAGCACGGCGCUUAACUCCGUUAAGGCAAGUGGAAACUGAAUAGCUAGAAUUCCUGUAGGGGUAGAGGGAAUUCCCGGUGUACCGGUGAAAUGCGUAGAGAUCGGGAAGAACAUCGGUGGCGAAAGCGCUCUACUGGACGGCAACUGACACUCAGGGACGAAAGCUAGGGGAGCGAAUGGGAUUAGAUACCCCAGUAGUCCUAGCUGUAAACGAUGGAUACUAGGGUGUAGCUUGUAUCGACCCGAGCUUGUGCCGAAGCUAACGCGUUAAGUAUCCCGCCUGGGGAGUACGCACGCAAGUGUGAAACUCAAAGGAAUUGACGGGGGCCCGCACAAGCGGUGGAGUAUGUGGUUUAAUUCGAUGCAACGCGAAGAACCUUACCAGGGCUUGACAUGUCCGGAAUCCCGGUGAAAGCUGGGAGUGCCUUCGGGAGCCGGAACACAGGUGGGUGCAUGGCUGUCGUCAGCUCGUGUCGUGAGAUGUUGGGUUAAGUCCCGCAACGAGCGCAACCCUCGUCUUUAGUUGCCAGCAUUAAGUUGGGCACUCUAGAGAGACUGCCGGUGACAAACCGGAGGAAGGUGGGGAUGACGUCAAGUCAGCAUGCCCCUUACGCUCUGGGCGACACACGUACUACAAUGGUCGGGACAGAGGGCAGCGAACCUGCGAAGGCAAGCUAAUCCCAGCAAACUCGGCCUCAGUUCAGAUCGCAGGCUGCAACUCGCCUGCGUGAAGGAGGAAUCGCUAGUAAUCGCCGGUCAGA